rnacentral:lncRNA from 1 species
UGUUGGUGUUAAAAUUGAACCAUGACAUUAAUUCCCAAAUCCAUUCUCUCCCGGCUUCUCAAUCUCCCUCUCUGCUCAUCGCUUUGUUCUCUUGAAUGGAGUCCUAACUGAGUUUACAUCGGCUUCAAAUCUGCCUCUGCUUGGUGCGAAUAAAUCUCUUAGGCGGUCAUCCCUGAACAUAAUUGCUUCCGGCCUCUCGUCUCGUCUAUAACCACUUUCGGCCUCUUGUCUUGUAGGUUCGGUCAAUAUAUAUUUUUAUGCAAAAUAAAUUUGUUCUUCCUCUGUUUAUGCAAUAUUUGAGCAUGGGUUUAAAUGUGUGGGCAAUGUGUUUGACUUAAUGACAUUGAGAAGAGUCGUUUAUUAUGUAUGGUUUGAAUGUGAUUUAAAUGUAUGGUAAUGGUAUGGAGUUUGAUUUUAGUGAUUAUUGGUUAGUGUUUUGAUUGCUUGUAACGUGAGAAAGAGAAAAACAAGGAGGAAGAAAUUUUCCUCUCUGGGUUUUCUUUGUUUAAGUAUAAUGUUCAGACUGUCAUCGUGAGAAGUUGUUUUGAGUUGUUGCCAUUUCUCUGCUGUCUCUUUCCUAGAGAACUUUUGUUGCUGCUUAGAAUAAUAUAGGUAGAACCUUUGCCUUUCAAUUCAUUUCAAGACAGGAAAGAGAAGUGUCAAUGGUUAUAUAUUGUUUUUAAGAUCUUUAUAAUUGAAUGAUGUUUUCUGUAGGAUUAGA